GAUGAACGCUGGCGGCGUGCCUAAUACAUGCCAGUCGAGCGAACGGACGAGAAACUUGCUUCUCUGAUGUUAGCGGCGGACGGGGGAGUAAAACGUGGAUAAACUACCUAUAAGACUGGGAUAAACUCGGGAAACCGGAGCUAAUACCGGAUAAUAUUUUGAACCGCAUGGUUCAAGAGUGAAAGACGGUCUUGCUGUCACUUAUAGAUGGAUCCGCGCGGCAUUAGCUAGUUGGUAAGGUAACGGCUUACCAAGGCAACGAUGCAUAGCCGACCUGAGAGGGUGAUCGGCCACACUGGAACUGAGACACGGUCCAGACUCCUACGGGAGGCAGCAGUAGGGAAUCUUCCGCAAUGGGCGAAAGCCUGACGGAGCAACGCCGCGUGAGUGAUGAAGGUCUUCGGAUCGUAAAGCUCUGUUAUUAGGGAAGAACAUAUGUGUAAGUAACUGUGCACAUAUUGACGGUACCUAAUCAGAAAGCCACGGCUAACUACGUG
rnacentral:rRNA from 1 species